rnacentral:lncRNA from 1 species
ACUUGCUGUAUGAGGAUCUUCACCAGGAGAGGACUUUGCUGAGACCCCAGCAGAUGCUCAUAUGAGGAAGGGAGCAGCCAGAAUAAGCAGAAAUGCUGUGAAAUCCUGCACUCAGGAGCUGCGAAACACCCCAAGCAGCGCAGAGACCCGCUCCUCUUGAAGGCACAUCCUGGGGGCUUGGCUCCAGAGAUAGAAAUUAUUCAAAAUAAACAGGUUGCAGGGGUAACAACCACCCCGUUGCCCACCCCUGCGAGCCCCUGGGAUGUACGUAGGCUUCUAGUUUUGGCAGCUGUGAUUUCGAUCCGCGCGGCGCUGGCAGGGUCCUAAGAGAGCUGCUCACCGAGCUGGGGUCGCUGCCGCAAGGCUGAGCUGAAAUCCAGCGCGGAAGCUUCCCAGGGAGCAGCUCCAGAAAAUCUGGGAGAGGGCGUCGAGAAGCACCUGCGGCUCAACAAGUGUCGGUGAAAUACAGCGGGAUGGUACCUGCAGCAUCCCUGCUGCCGGCGGGAGCUCAGCCCUGCAGCAGGGCUGUCCUGCUGGGGCUG